rnacentral:rRNA from 1 species
AGAGUUUGAUCGUGGCUCAGAGUGAACGCUGGCGGCGUGCUUAACACAUGCAAGUCGAACGAGAACGGGUUACAGCUUGCUGUAACUGUCAGUUAAGUGGCGCACGGGUGAGUAAUAUAUAGGUAACAUGCCCCAAAGAAGAGGAUAACGUGUGGAAACGGACGCUAAUACUAUAUAUGCCUUUAAGUCAUAAGACUGCAAGGGAAAUAUUUAUAGCUUUGGGAUUGGCCUGUACAGUAUCAGCUAGUUGGUGAGGUAAUGGCUCACCAAGGCAAUGACGCUUAACUGGUUUGAGAGGAUGAUCAGUCACAGUGGAAUUGUGACACGGUCCAGACUCCUACGGGAGGCAGCAGUGGGGAAUAUUGCACAAUGGACGAAAGUCUGAUGCAGCAACGCCGCGUGGAGGAUGACACAUUUCGGUGCGUAAACUCCUCUUAUAUAGGAAGAUAAUGACGGUAUUAUAUGUAAUAAGCACCGGCUAACUCCGUGCCAGCAGCCGCGGUAAUACGGAGGGUGCAAGCGUUACUCGGAAUCACUGGGCGUAAAGAGAAUGUAGGCGGGUUAAUAAGUUGGAAGUGAAAUCCUAUGGCUCAACCAUAGAACUGCUUUCAAAACUGUUGACAUAGAAUAUGGGAGAGGUAGAUGGAAUUUCUGGUGUAGGGGUAAAAUCCGUAGAGAUCAGAAGGAAUACCGAUUGCGAAGGCGAUGUAGUGGAACAUUAUUGACGAUGAGAUUUGAAAGCGUGGGGAGCAAACAGGAUUAGAUACCAUGGUAGUCCACGCCCUAAACGAUGCACAGUAGUUGUUGCCUUGCUCGACAAGGCAGUAAUGCAGUUAACACAUUAAGUGUGCCGCCUGGGGAGUACGGUCGCAAGAUUAAAACUCAAAGGAAUAGACGGGGACCCGCACAAGCGGUGGAGCAUGUGGUUUAAUUCGACGAUACGCGAAGAACCUUACCUGGACUUGACAUAGAAAGAAUUUAGCAGAGAUGUAAAAGUGCCAGCUUGCUGGAACUUUCAUACAGGUGCUGCACGGCUGUCGUCAGCUCGUGUCUGUGAGAUGUUGGGUUAAGUCCCGCAACGAGCGCAACCCUCGUGUUUAGUUACUAACAGUUCGGCUGAGGACUCUAGACAGACUGCCUGGGUAACCAGGAGGAAGGUGAGGAUGACGUCAAGUCAUCACAUGGCCCUUAUGUCCAGGGCUACACACGUGCUACAAUGGGGCAUACAAAGAGCAGCGAUACCGCGAGGUGGAGCAAAUCUGUUAAAAUGCCUCUCAGUUCGGAUAGCACUCUGCAACUCGAGUGCUUGAAGUUGGAAUCGCUAGUCAAUCGUGGAUCAGCAAUGCCACGGUGAAUACGUUCCCGGGUCUUGUACUCACCGCCCGUCACACCAUGUGAAUUGAAUUCAUUCCGAAGCGGGGUUGCUAAAAUANCUACCUUCCACAGUGGAUUUANUAACUGGGGUUAANUCNUAACAACGUAACC